rnacentral:lncRNA from 1 species
GGUUCUCAUGAAUGUCACGGUCCUUACUAGACCAUUUGUCAUCGCAAUAAUUUAUUCAUCUCAAUUUCACAACUUUAGCCAUUGGGCCCUAAAACCCUUAAUGGGCCCUACAGUGUCCACUAGCAAUUUAAGCCCUUUUAACUCAAGUUCUAUGACCAGUUUACCGGUUUAAGCAGUUUCAAUUCUACAGCCUAACAAAACAUACUUAUUGCCUAUUUUUUUAUUAUUUUACCCGUAUGGGCCCAUAAGGCCACUGGGCCUAGUUUUAGCCUAUCGAGGCCCAAUUACCGAAGUGCACGAAUUUUCACACACGACUAACUUACCACUUUGCGAUUUCAGAUGUAGUGAUUUCUAAACAUCUUGUGAGCACUCGCACACUCACAAGCCCAUGAAAUGCCAGAUUUUCGGCAUUUCAGCUUUUGCCGAUUUGAACUAUGAGAGGGUGUUCGAUACACACCUGAUUUAGAACGGUACGUUGGCGAGAUCCUCACACGAACUGCCUACAAUUGGAUUACUAACACAUCAAUCUAAAUAUCGAAAACAAACUACGUAUUUAACCCCUUACCGUAUUCGGCCAACACAGC